CCUACGGGGGGCAGCAGUGGGGAAUAUUGCACAAUGGGGGAAACCCUGAUGCAGCGACGCCGCGUGAAGGAAGAAGUAUUUCGGUAUGGAAACUUCUAUCCGCAGGGAAGAAAAUGACGGUACCUGACUUAGAAGCCCCGUCUAACUACGUGCCAGCAGCCGCGGUAAUACGUAGGGGGCAAGCGUUAUCCGGAUUUACUGGGGGUAAAGGGAGCGUCGGCGUUGCUGCAAGUCAGAC
rnacentral:rRNA from 1 species